rnacentral:lncRNA from 1 species
AAAAUUAUAAUAGUUUUUUUCUGAAAUAUUUUGACUGGUAAAAGAUUAUGUAAUGGGAAAUCCCAUCUAUUCUUAAAGCAAUUGUUAAAAUUCAAGUUUGGGUGUCAUUUAGGAAAAGAAUGUGAUAUGAACUAUUUUCCUAUGCAGUAUUUCCGGCACUCGUGUGAAAGUUCAGCACACCAACUCCAAGGUUGUCAUUUCGAAAAGGAGGAACAGACAGUCACAAGUCCAAACUCACACCAAAUCUGGCUCAGGGGGAGCUUAUGACAGAAGCCUUCAGAAUGAUCUUGGACUCAACAGAACAGGAGCAUGUAGUGAGGGCCAUGAUAUCAGUCCAAUGUCGAAACGGAAAGCUUGGUGGGAUAGCUUAUUAAUGCAUGAUAACAGUCUAAGAAUUUCCAAGGCAUAGACUUGCUCCACUUCAAACAAACCUUGAAUGAAUGUGAACUUGUUAAAUAUGUUGUAGUACAUGCAAUUCUCAUCAGUUAUUAUUGCAAAAUUCAGGUAAUGUAUCUCUUUGUAAGAGCACAAUGAAUUCUUGUGUAAACAAAGAUGGGUUGUAAACAAAGAUGGGUUCUAAAAGAUUGUGAAGGCAUAUUUCUCUUAAUAUUUUCAAGAAAAAAGGAGGUCUGUGACACUUGCAACUUUCUUGGGUUACUUCGAUCAUGCUGGACUCAUAAGAAGGAUUUAAAAAUGUCCUUUUGUCCAUGUGUAAGACACAGCUCCAUAAUGUGAUUUCUGCUCCAUGCCCUGCAUGAGACACUAUGCUGUUGCUCAUGAAAAUUUAAGGGUGAAUCAAGAACACAGGUCCUAGAGUCCGAUAGAUAUGGCUAUUUCAGCUGGGAAUGCAAAUGUUGUAAUAAUGUGCAACAGCUAGCUGUCUAAAUUGAUAGUAAAGGAUUCGAAGUUCAGAUAUAGUAUGACAUCCCUAGAGCCAGUACUGAGUUGAUUAUCUCUGGCCCUUAGUGUGUCUCUUUGAAUCUUUUUAUUGUAAAGUUCUCUUCUACUAUAUUUUGUCUGAAUCUAAGGAGAAAUUGUUAUCAUCCCCUUUAUUAAGUGAGUUUUCUCCAUAACAUCAAACCUCACCAUCAUAUCAUCACCAGAUUUUAUCAUCAUCUUUAUUAAGUGAGUUUUCUCCAUAACAUCAAACCUUAUUGCUUCUGUUACUGUCAUGGAGGAUUGAUCACUGACUCUUAGUAUCUGUGCUGUGAUCAUUGGCUAUGACAUUCAUGUUCAUGUGCAUAUUUCAAAUUUGGGUUUACACACUCAAUUCUAGGUAGCUAUACCCAUUCCUUAUUUGUUAUUAUUAAUAUUUUAAGUUGCAUAAUAAAAUGAUCCUUAGGAAGUUUGUGAUUUUCAUACCUAGCCCUGUGAGUCAUACUCAUUCUUCGCAUGUAGAAUUCUAACUGGCAGUACUCUUUUUCCUUUUUGGCUGGCGAUUCCUACAAAAUAUCCAAGCUUCACUACUGAGCUAUUCUUCCUUCUCUGAUAUCAAGUCUUGAAAAUGUUCUACAAUUUCAUCUCAGUGAGGCAAGAGGAUCACCAGAAGUUGGAAUUUCAUGCCAGUCCCAGCAACACAACAAGAUCCUGUCUUAAAUUCAAGGACUCUGGGCCGACGUAGCAAACAGAGGCAUCAACAUGAAGAGUAAGGUGGUGGAAGCUCCACCUAAAGGCAUCUUCCUACACAACAGCAAGAACCCUAAAGUCAACUCAGAUUUUGAGGCUUACAGCUGAAAAUUCAGAAUUAAAGGCUGCAAUAAAGGUCCAAGCAAAGGAGGAUGGACAGCUUCCAAGAACCCCAUCUGAAAAGGUUAAAGAAGAAAUAAAGAAUCAGAUUAAAUUGAACCAGUCACUGAUACAGGAUUUGGAUGAAAUAAAAGAGAGAAAUAGUGAAUUAGAAAAAGAAAUAACCAGGUUUAAGAAUCUGUGCUCAAUGGCGAAGGACUCAGACUCACAUAAAAGUAGAGAGUUUACACAGAAUGCUUCAAGUACAACUCACCGCGAAAACGAUGUGGUACUUAACCUAAGAAAGACGCUUGAAAGUAUCGAAACAAAACUGCAACAGGAAAUAUUCCACUGGCAAUGCCUGGAGGAUGAACAUAAUCACCUGCAGCCGAAAGCAGCAGAUACAACAGCAGCCCAGGAGAAAUGUGAAAUGCUAGAGGGUGGAAUAAAGAAGCUUGAAGAGACACUACUCAGGAUUAAAACACAUAUGGACAAGAAUAUGGUAGAGCA